rfam:Myotis davidii contig121103, whole genome shotgun sequence.
GGCAGUUUUCGGGUGACAAGCCCUGAAAUCAGGCUCCCUCCUCUCUGGUUCUGGGUGUGUCAUCUGAGAGCCACA